rnacentral:hammerhead_ribozyme from 1 species
GUACUGAUGAAGAGUCCCAGACUAGGACGAAACAGCCGUUCAGCAC